GACGAACGCUGGCGGCGUGCUUAACACAUGCAAGUCGAACGGAAAGGCCCUGCUUUUGUGGGGUGCUCGAGUGGCGAACGGGUGAGUAACACGUGAGUAACCUGCCCUUGACUUUGGGAUAACUUCAGGAAACUGGGGCUAAUACCGGAUAGGAGCUCCUGCUGCAUGGUGGGGGUUGGAAAGUUUCGGCGGUUGGGGAUGGACUCGCGGCUUAUCAGCUUGUUGGUGGGGUAGUGGCUUACCAAGGCUUUGACGGGUAGCCGGCCUGAGAGGGUGACCGGCCACAUUGGGACUGAGAUACGGCCCAGACUCCUACGGGAGGCAGCAGUGGGGAAUAUUGCACAAUGGGCGGAAGCCUGAUGCAGCAACGCCGCGUGCGGGAUGACGGCCUUCGGGUUGUAAACCGCUUUCGCCUGUGACGAAGCGUGAGUGACGGUAAUGGGUAAAGAAGCACCGGCUAACUACGUGCCAGCAGCCGCGGUGAUACGUAGGGUGCGAGCGUUGUCCGGAUUUAUUGGGCGUAAAGGGCUCGUAGGUGGUUGAUCGCGUCGGAAGUGUAAUCUUGGGGCUUAACCCUGAGCGUGCUUUCGAUACGGGUUGACUUGAGGAAUUUAGGGGAGAAUGGAAUUCCUGGUGGAGCGGUGGAAUGCGCAGAUAUCAGGAGGAACACCAGUGGCGAAGGCGGUUCUCUGGGCCUUUCCUGACGCUGAGGAGCGAAAGCGUGGGGAGCGAACAGGCUUAGAUACCCUGGUAGUCCACGCUGUAAACGGUGGGUACUAGGUGUGGGGUCCAUUCCACGGGUUCCGUGCCGUAGCUAACGCUUUAAGUACCCCGCCUGGGGAGUACGGCCGCAAGGCUAAAACUCAAAGGAAUUGACGGGGCCCCGCACAAGCGGCGGAGCAUGCGGAUUAAUUCGAUGCAACGCGUAGAACCUUACCUGGGUUUGACAUGGAUCGGGAGUGCUCAGAGAUGGGUGUGCCUCUUUUGGGGUCGGUUCACAGGUGGUGCAUGGCUGUCGUCAGCUCGUGUCGUGAGAUGUUGGGUUAAGUCCCGCAACGAGCGCAACCCUUGUUCACUGUUGCCAGCACGUUAUGGUGGGGACUCAGUGGAGACCGCCGGGGUCAACUCGGAGGAAGGUGGGGAUGACGUCAAGUCAUCAUGCCCCUUAUGUCCAGGGCUUCACGCAUGCUACAAUGGCUGGUACAGAGAGUGGCGAGCCUGUGAGGGUGAGCGAAUCUCGGAAAGCCGGUCUCAGUUCGGAUUGGGGUCUGCAACUCGACCUCAUGAAGUCGGAGUCGCUAGUAAUCGCAGAUCAGCAACGCUGCGGUGAAUAAAUUCCCGGG
rnacentral:rRNA from 1 species